rnacentral:misc_RNA from 1 species
CAACAGGGAUUGCCUCAGUAACGGCGAGUGAAGCGGCAACAGCUCAAAUUUGAAAUCUGGCUCUCGGGCCCGAGUUGUAAUUUGUAGAGGAUGCUUUUGGUGAGGUGCCUUCCGAGUUCCCUGGAACGGGACGCCAUAGAGGGUGAGAGCCCCGUCUGGUUGGACACCGAUCCUCUGUAAAGCUCCUUCGACGAGUCGAGUAGUUUGGGAAUGCUGCUCUAAAUGGGAGGUAUAUGUCUUCUAAAGCUAAAUACCGGCCAGAGACCGAUAGCGCACAAGUAGAGUGAUCGAAAGAUGAAAAGAACUUUGAAAAGAGAGUUAAAAAGUACGUGAAAUUGUUGAAAGGGAAGCGCUUGUGACCAGACUUGGGCUUGGUUGAUCAUCCGGGGUUCUCCCCGGUGCACUCUUCCGGCUCAGGCCAGCAUCAGUUCGCCCUGGGGGAUAAAGGCUUCGGGAAUGUGGCUCUCUCCGGGGAGUGUUA